rnacentral:tRNA from 1 species
GGGAGAGUUCCCGAGUGGCCAAAGGGGGCAGACUGUAAAUCUGUUGUUUUCAACUUCGGUGGUUCGAAUCCACCCUCUCCCACCA